AUUUCAAAUUUAAGCCUCAUCGUCCUGCUGUAUCCUGCUUGAUUUGGGCCUUAACAGCUAUAUUAGCUGAAAUCCCUUGUGCGAAUAUGUGCAUUAACAAAUUGGCUGGCUCUGUGAGAUUGGCUGUUAUGCAUAUUGAAUUAGUUUGGCAAAUUCGCGCAACCUCAACCCCAGAUGGAAGAGUGCAGAAUGAUCAUUUUUGGCAACUCGGGCAAUUCACGCGAAUAUUGAAUUACAAAAGGCAGCAAAAGGCGAAAGGAUCAAUGUUAACUAAUUUGCAUAAUGCUCGGCACCCAGGGCAAAGGAUAACAACAAAACAGAAGGGGCUAAUCAAACAACAAGGACACUGCGACAGGAAGCACACGCUCUUGUGUGAUUUAUGGGGUAGCUGCUCUCGAAUUAUAUAUGCAAAUAUCGCCAGAAACAAAGUCAUCUCCGCGCUUCCACUCGCAAUCCGCGAAUAUCCUUGAAGGUCGCACGCGCCAAGCCCCGCGCAGGCACAACACAGGACAACCGUCUAAUGGGCGUUUUGUUUAUGGUCGCCCUCAAACCCUCAUUAGGGUCGCGCUUGGGAAACCCUUUCACCUAGCAUACGUUU